GGGAAAGUGGCUCAGUGGUAGAGUGCUUGCCUUGUAUGCAUGAGGCCCUGGGUUCAAUUCCCCAGUACCA
rnacentral:tRNA from 1 species